rnacentral:rRNA from 1 species
CCUACGGGAGGCAGCAGUGAGGAAUAUUGGUCAAUGGACGCAAGUCUGAACCAGCCAUGCCGCGUGAAGGAUGCAGGCCUUCUGGGUUGUAAACUUCUUUUAUCUGGGAAGAAACCCCUGAUUUCUAUUAGGGCCGACGGUACCAGAGGAAUAAGCACCGGCUAACUCCGUGCCAGCAGCCGCGGUAAU